rnacentral:rRNA from 1 species
UACGUAGGGUGCGAGCGUUAAUCGGAAUUACUGGGCGUAAAGUGUGCGCAGGCGGCAGAGCAAGUCGGGUGUGAAAGCCCCGGGCUCAACCUGGGAAUUGCAUUCGAGACUGAAUAGCUAGGGUACGGUAGAGGGAAGUGGAAUUUCCGGUGUAGCGGUGAAAUGCGUAGAUAUCGGAAGGAACAUCAGUGGCGAAAGCGACUUCCUGGACCAGUACCGACGUUCAGGCACGAAAGCGUGGGGAGCAAACAGG